AUAUAUUAAAUAUUCAUCUGCUUAAAGCUUACAUUCUUAUAGUGUUCAUUGAAAUUCGUAGCCGUUUUCAGAGAGGAGCGAAACCGAAAAGUUUCAGAUGAAAGUUCUACUUCUUCUCGUACUACUUGCUGCAGCAGCGUCAGCAUCUAUUCUCGAUUAUGAGGUGACUGAUGAAGAUAAUCAAGAAGAAGACACUGUGUCCCCAGAUCUUGACGAUACACCUGAUCAUUAUGAAGAAGAUGUGAUGCUUAGAAUAUCACCAACACCAACGGCGACCGAUAUUGAUGAAUGGGCUGAAUUAUUUAGAAUGGCAGUCGAAGAAGGCAUGAUUCAUCGUAAUCUUAGUCUGGGGAACAUCGGUGCACGUGAUAUUUUAUUGUCCAAAGAACGUACGCCCAUCCGUGGUGUCAGGAGGAGUCGGGCAUAACCAUGUGUGCAUCAGACUACAUUCACAGAAAGGAC